rnacentral:lncRNA from 1 species
AAAUUUAUAGCAAAAUAAUAUUUGACACAAGUACAACAUAACAAAUUUCAAAUAUAUCACACUUUUUAAUAUAACAUAAGCUCGACACGAAACAAAUAAUACAUAAGUUCAAACAUCUGAAAUCACAAAUUUAUGUUCAAAAAGACAUUAAACUAUGUCAGAAAACAUGAACAUAUCAUGCUCAAAAAAUUAUAAUAAGAAGUCUAAUCAUAUUAGCUACAAGCAUAAAGAAACAAAAGCACUAAUAAUCUCAU